rnacentral:rRNA from 1 species
AGAGUUUGAUCCUGGCUCAGGAUUAACGCUGGCGGUAUGCCUAACACAUGCAAGUCGAACGGAAUACUAAUUAAGAGAAUCUCACACUAGUGAGAGGGUUCUCACGAGUAGUAUUUAGUGGCGGACGGGUGAGUAACACGUUGGAACCUGCCCCGAAGUGGGGAAUAACUGCUCGAAAGAGUAGCUAAUACCCCAUAGUAUCCGGUUUAUCCGGAUUAAAGAUUUAUCGCUUCGGGAGGGGCCUGCGUCUGAUUAGCUAGUUGGUGAGGUAAAAGCUCACCAAGGCGACGAUCAGUAGCUGGUUCGAGAGGAUGACCAGCCACACUGGGACUGAGAUACGGCCCAGACUCCUACGGGAGGCAGCAGUGAGGAAUCUUCCACAAUGGGCGCAAGCCUGAUGGAGCAAUACCGCGUGCAGGAAGACGCUUUCGGAGUGUAAACUGCUUUUGUCGUCGAAGAUUAUGACUGUAGACGAAGAAUAAGGACCGGCUAACUACGUG